CCUACGCGAGGCAGCAGUAGGGAAUCUUCCACAAUGGACGAAAGUCUGAUGGAGCAACGCCGCGUGAGUGAAGAAGGGUUUCGGCUCGUAAAGCUCUGGUGGUAGUGAAGAAAGAUAGAGGUAGUAACUGGCCUGUAUUUGACGGUAAUUACUUAGAAAGUCACGGCUAACUACGUGCCAGCAGCCGCGGUAAUACGUAGGUGGCAAGCGUAGUACGGAUUUAUUGGGCGUAAAGCGAGUGCAGGCGGUUCAAUAAGUCUGAUGUGAAAGCAUUCGGCUCAACCGGAGAAUUGCAUCAGAAACUGUUGAACUUGAGUGCAGAAGAGGAGAGUGGAACUCCAUGUGUAGCGGUGGAAUGCGUAGAUAUAUGGAAGAACACCAGUUGCGAAGGCGGCUCUCUGGUCUGCAACUGACGCUGAGGCUCGAAAGCAUGGGUAGCGAACAGGAUUAGAUACCCGAGUAGUC
rnacentral:rRNA from 1 species